UACGUAGGGGGCAAGCGUUGUCCGGAAUCAUUGGGCGUAAAGGGCUCGUAGGCGGUCCAUCGCGUCGGGAGUCGAAAGCGUGGGGCUUAACCCCAGUCCUGCUUUCGAUACGGGUGGACUAGAGGUAGGCAGGGGAGAAUGGAAUUCCUGGUGUAGCGGUGAAAUGCGCAGAUAUCAGGAGGAACACCGGUGGCGAAGGCGGGUCUCUGGGCCGAUACUGACGCUGGAGGAGCGAAAGCGUGGGGAGCGAACAGG
rnacentral:rRNA from 1 species